rnacentral:rRNA from 1 species
GACGAACCGUGCGAACGUUGUUCGGAUUCACUGGGCUUAAAGGGCGCGUAGGCGGCUCGCCAAGUCGGGGGUGAAAUCUUUCGGCUCAACCGGAAAAUAGCUUCCGAUACUGGCGGGCUGGAGGGAGGUAGGGGCGACUGGAACUUCCGGUGGAGCGGUGAAAUGCGUUGAUAUUGGAAGGAACGCCGGAGGCGAAAGCGGCGCACUGGAUUUCUUCUGACGCUGAGGCGCGAAAGCUAGGGGAGCAAACGGG